GGCCAUUCCAUGAUCUUGGACAUAUUUUCAGGAUUUGGCUUAACGCCGUUUUUGUUCACAACAUGACCUAGAAAGAUACUUGGUGGUAACCAGAUGUCAAAUCGAAAGUGGAGAAAAUAGAAGCUCCAGAUACCGCAUCAAGACAAUCUUGGAUUCUAGCGACAUCUCUGAUUGUCCAGGAAGUCGAGUCUGGAUUUUUCGUUGCACCUAUAGGAAGUAGAACAUCAUAUGUGAAUUCAUCAGCUACACCAAUGACAUCAUCUUGAUGAAUACUUUGUUCAGUAUCUGUAAGGUUAAGUAACCUCACAGCUA